rnacentral:rRNA from 1 species
UACGUAGGGUGCGAGCGUUGUCCGGAAUUACUGGGCGUAAAGAGCUCGUAGGUGGUUUGUCGCGUUGUUCGUGAAAUCUCACGGCUUAACUGUGAGCGUGCGGGCGAUACGGGCAGACUAGAGUACUGCAGGGGAGACUGGAAUUCCUGGUGUAGCGGUGGAAUGCGCAGAUAUCAGGAGGAACACCGGUGGCGAAGGCGGAUCUCUGGGCCAUAACUGACGCUGAGGAGCGAAAGCAUGGGGAGCGAACAGG